rnacentral:rRNA from 1 species
GAUGAACGCUGGCGGCGUGCCUAACACAUGCAAGUCGAACGAGGGUUUGUCUUACGAUCUCUUCGGAGUGACGAGGCAAAACCGAGUGGCGGACGGGUGAGUAACGCGUGGGGAACCUGCCUCAUACAGGGGGAUAACAGCCGGAAACGGUUGCUAAUACCGCAUAAGCGCACGAGAACGCAUGUUUUUGUGUGAAAAAUUCCGAUGGUAUGAGAUGGACCCGCGUCUGAUUAGCCAGUUGGUGAGGUAACGGCCCACCAAAGCGACGAUCAGUAGCCGACCUGAGAGGGUGACCGGCCACAUUGGGACUGAGACACGGCCCAGACUCCUACGGGAGGCAGCAGUGGGGAAUAUUGCACAAUGGGCGAAAGCCUGAUGCAGCGACGCCGCGUGAGCGAAGAAGUAUUUCGGUAUGUAAAGCUCUAUCAGCAGGGAAGAAAGAAAUGACGGUACCUGACUAAGAAGCUCCGGCUAAAUAC